GACGGAGGAUGCAAGUGUUAUCCGGAAUCACUGGGCGUAAAGCGUCUGUAGGUGGUCAAAUAAGUCAACUGUUAAAUCUUGAGGCUCAACCUCAAAAUCGCAGUCGAAACUAUUCGACUAGAGUAUAGUAGGGGUAAAGGGAAUUUCCAGUGGAGCGGUGAAAUGCGUAGAGAUCCGGAGGAACACCAGAGGCGAAGGCGGCAUUCUGGACGACAUCAGACGCUGAGACGCGACAGCACGGGGAGCGAACGGG
rnacentral:rRNA from 1 species